AUGCUAUUAACAGAGGAGCUGCUCGGUAUUUUACAGGGCACUCAGGCCCUGACAGGCUGCCGCGGGAUCCGGGCGGUCUCACCGUCGGGGAAAGCGCCGGGAACCACGCUCCGGUGGAAGGCCGGCGCUCGGAUUCUCCCCAAACAUCCCGCCCGCGGAGCAGCUGCGGGUGGCGGUGGCGGGCAGAGGUGCGGUGUGGCGACAAGCAAGGUGCGAUGCCCAGCGGCUGGAGCGGGGCACCGAGCCCGGCGGGAAGAUGGAGCGGGCUCCGCGGAGAGGAGCGCGGACGCGACGGCAGCGGGCGGCGUGACAAAGGAACCCCUGAGGCGAGCGGGCACCACUCCCCCCGCGGGAUGUCCCGGCCGUGCGCCGGGCCGUGAGGAGUGCAGGUUCGGCGGGGCCCCCGGGGGCUGUGACCCCACAUGUGCAUCGCACUCGGGAGCCCGGUUCCGGCUUUUCCUUAAAAGGGCAGCGGAGCCGUCCCGGCAAAAAGUAGCCCGAUGGCAGCACGGGAAAGAGUUAAUAGUUUAUUGGAGUCGGCGCUUCCACAUACCACAGGGAGCCUUCCCAGUUCUGGAGUCUUCCUCCCUCCGAGGCAUUCCCGCUGUCAUUCACCGCCUCCAGGCCGUGUCGGGAACGUGUCCGGGCUCCCAAGCGCGGUGCUCUGCUUUGCAAGAUCGAGAGCCUUUUGCCAAGUCACAACCUGACAGGGAGACAGAUAGGCUCCGCUGCCGGUGCAGGGGCACCGCUGGCCCCGCCAGCCCCUCCCAAGGCUGGCUGUGCCUCGGAAAGACGUCCGCCUUGCGGUCACGGUAACAUCAGAUCCGCCACAGCUCACGCAUCCCGGCUGGGGCAGGCGCGGGCCGGGAGCAAGCAGGUGAAGCUGCCCCGGGUGAGCCCCGCCGCCGCUCGGGGCCGCGGGCAGCGAGGAGGCUCCGGGCGCUCGGGGCCGGCGGCGGCUCGGCAGCGGCGGGGGACGGGACAGGACGGGACGGGACGGGCGGCUCCCGGCCGCCGAGCCCAGCGCUGCCUCCCACCUCCCGUCCCGGGCGUGGAUAGUGCUAUGGAAACUUUAUUAAUCUCUCCCCCUGCGCUUUCUCACCCAGCCCAGUGCAUCUGAAAGGUCACCACUUUCCUUUUCAAGGACUGAUAUUAUUAAUUCGCUGACAAUUUCCCUCUCCCCCUCCUCCUUUUUCCCUUUUUCUUUUCUCUCUCGCAGGGAAAAAAAAAAGGAGGGGGGGAAUUGUGAAAAGAGCUUUUCUUCUUCGUCUUCUUCUUCUUCUUUUUUGUCCUUCAGUGGGAGCGUUUAGACAGUCGAGGAGGUUUUGUCCGCGAACAAAACCCGGGGUUGGGAGGUUUUGUGAGAGUGUUGUUUGUUGAAGUGGAGCUAAGAAAAAGCGGCGGCUUUCUCCUCAUUGUGAAGAAACCAAUCAGUGGUAUUUGGAAAACUGUUAGCAUUGUGCACUUCUUCUGUGUCCAUUGUGAGGCAUUUCUUUUCACAAGGUUUUUUUUUCAGCCGAUCCAGCUGGCCAGAAUGAAUAGCAGUGCAAUGUGUACACGCUUUGUCCCUCCGGCCCUUCAAGUAGCCCCCAUUGAAUAGACUAAGUUGACACUGCAUGACAGUGAAACAACAUAAUAAAAAAUACAUGAGCCCCUGAAUAGGAGCA
ensembl:lncRNA